GAUGAACGCUGGCGGCGUGCCUAACACAUGCAAGUCGAACGGAGAAUUAUUGCCGAGGAGACUUCGGUCAAAUCAUAAUAAUUCUUAGUGGCGAACGGGUGAGUAACGCGUGGGGAACCUGCCUCACACCGGGGGAUAGCAGUUGGAAACGACUGGUAAUACCGCAUAAGCGCACAGUAUCGCAUGAUACAGUGUGAAAAACUCCGGUGGUGUGAGAUGGCCCCGCGUCUGAUUAGCUGGUUGGUAGAGUAAAAGCCUACCAAGGCGACGAUCAGUAGCCGGGUUGAGAGACCGGACGGCCACAUUGGGACUGAGACACGGCCCAGACUCCUACGGGAGGCAGCAGUGGGGGAUAUUGCACAAUGGAGGAAACUCUGAUGCAGCGACGCCGCGUGAGUGAAGAAGUAUUUCGGUAUGUAAAGCUCUAUCAGCAGGGAAGAAAGACUCGAAA
rnacentral:rRNA from 1 species